CAGUCGCCGCGGUAAUACGUAGGGGGCGAGCGUUGUCCGAAGUUACUGGGCGUAAAGCGCGCGUAGGCGGCUUCUUAAGUCUGAGGUGAAAGGUUCAACGCUUAACGUGAACAGUGCCUUGGAUACUGGGGAGCUUGAGUAUGGGAGAGGGCAGUGGAAUGGCUGGUGUAGCGGUGAAAUGCGUAGAUAUCAGUCGGAACACCCAUGGCGAAGGCAGCUGCCUGGCCUAAUACUGACGCUGAGGUGCGAAAGCGUGGGGAGCGAACGGGAUUAGAUACCCCAGUAGUCCCUGUCUCUUAUU
rnacentral:rRNA from 1 species